rnacentral:rRNA from 1 species
UACGAAUGGAGCGAGCGUUGUUCGGAAUCACUGGGCGUAAAGGGUGCGCAGGCGGUCAUGAAAGUCAGAAGUGAAAUCCCAGGGCUUAACCCUGGAAUGGCUUUUGAAACUCCAUGACUAGAGUAUUGGAGAGGUUGGCGGAAUUCCGAGUGUAGAGGUGAAAUUCGCAGAUAUUCGGAGGAACACCAAUGGCGUAGGCAGCCAACUGGACAAUUACUGACGCUCAUGCACGAAAGCGUGGGGAUCAAACAGG